UACGUAGGGAGCGAGCGUUGUCCGGAAUUAUUGGGCGUAAAGAGCUCGUAGGCGGCUUGUCGCGUCGACCGUGAAAACUUGGGGCUCAACCCCAAGCCUGCGGUCGAUACGGGCAGGCUCGAGUUCGGUAGGGGAGACUGGAAUUCCUGGUGUAGCGGUGAAAUGCGCAGAUAUCAGGAGGAACACCGAUGGCGAAGGCAGGUCUCUGGGCCGAUACUGACGCUGAGGAGCGAAAGCGUGGGGAGCGAACAGG
rnacentral:rRNA from 1 species